rnacentral:rRNA from 1 species
GGUUAAGCGACUAAGCGUACACGGUGGAUGCCCUGGCAGUCAGAGGCGAUGAAGGACGUGCUAAUCUGCGAUAAGCGUCGGUAAGGUGAUAUGAACCGUUAUAACCGGCGAUUUCCGAAUGGGGAAACCCAGUGUGUUUCGACACACUAUCAUUAACUGAAUCCAUAGGUUAAUGAGGCGAACCGGGGGAACUGAAACAUCUAAGUACCCCGAGGAAAAGAAAUCAACCGAGAUUCCCCCAGUAGCGGCGAGCGAACGGGGAGGAGCCCAGAGCCUGAAUCAGUGUGUGUGUUAGUGGAAGCGUCUGGAAAGGCGCGCGAUACAGGGUGACAGCCCCGUACACAAAAAUGCACAUACUGUGAGCUCGAUGAGUAGGGCGGGACACGUGGUAUCCUGUCUGAAUAUGGGGGGACCAUCCUCCAAGGCUAAAUACUCCUGACUGACCGAUAGUGAACCAGUACCGUGAGGGAAAGGCGAAAAGAACCCCGGCGAGGGGAGUGAAAAAGAACCUGAAACCGUGUACGUACAAGCAGUGGGAGCACGCUUCGGCGUGUGACUGCGUACCUUUUGUAUAAUGGGUCAGCGACUUAUAUUCUGUAGCAAGGUUAACCGAAUAGGGGAGCCGAAGGGAAACCGAGUCUUAACUGGGCGUUAAGUUGCAGGGUAUAGACCCGAAACCCGGUGAUCUAGCCAUGGGCAGGUUGAAGGUUGGGUAACACUAACUGGAGGACCGAACCGACUAAUGUUGAAAAAUUAGCGGAUGACUUGUGGCUGGGGGUGAAAGGCCAAUCAAACCGGGAGAUAGCUGGUUCUCCCCGAAAGCUAUUUAGGUAGCGCCUCGUGAAUUCAUCUCCGGGGGUAGAGCACUGUUUCGGCAAGGGGGUCAUCCCGACUUACCAACCCGAUGCAAACUGCGAAUACCGGAGAAUGUUAUCACGGGAGACACACGGCGGGUGCUAACGUCCGUCGUGAAGAGGGAAACAACCCAGACCGCCAGCUAAGGUCCCAAAGUCAUGGUUAAGUGGGAAACGAUGUGGGAAGGCCCAGACAGCCAGGAUGUUGGCUUAGAAGCAGCCAUCAUUUAAAGAAAGCGUAAUAGCUCACUGGUCGAGUCGGCCUGCGCGGAAGAUGUAACGGGGCUAAACCAUGCACCGAAGCUGCGGCAGCGACACUAUGUGUUGUUGGGUAGGGGAGCGU